GACGAACGCUGGCGGCGUGCUUAACACAUGCAAGUCGAACGGUAAGGCCCCUUCGGGGGUACACGAGUGGCGAACGGGUGAGUAACACGUGAGUAACCUGCCCUUGACUCUGGGAUAACAUCUGGAAACAGAUGCUAAUACCGGAUAUGAACCUCUUAGACAUCUUCGAGGUUGGAAAGCUCCGGCGGUCAUGGAUGGACUCGCGGCCUAUCAGCUUGUUGGUGAGGUAACGGCUCACCAAGGCUUCGACGGGUAGCCGGCCUGAGAGGGCGACCGGCCACAUUGGGACUGAGAUACGGCCCAAACUCCUACGGGAGGCAGCAGUGGGGAAGAUUGCACAAUGGGCGCAAGCCUGAUGCAGCAACGCCGCGUGCGGGAUGACGGCCUUCGGGUUGUAAACCGCUUUCAGCAGGGACGAAGCUAACGUGACGGUACCUGCAGAAGAAGCACCGGCUAACUACGUGCCAGCCGCCGCCGUAAUAC
rnacentral:rRNA from 1 species